rnacentral:rRNA from 1 species
AUAAUGGGUCAGCGACUUAUAUUCUGUAGCAAGGUUAACCGAAUAGGGGAGCCGAAGGGAAACCGAGUCUUAACUGGGCGUUAAGUUGCAGGGUAUAGACCCGAAACCCGGUGAUCUAGCCAUGGGCAGGUUGAAGGUUGGGUAACACUAACUGGAGGACCGAACCGACUAAUGUUGAAAAAUUAGCGGAUGACUUGUGGCUGGGGGUGAAAGGCCAAUCAAACCGGGAGAUAGCUGGUUCUCCCCGAAAGCUAUUUAGGUAGCGCCUCGUGAAUUCAUCUCCGGGGGUAGAGCACUGUUUCGGCAAGGGGGUCAUCCCGACUUACCAACCCGAUGCAAACUGCGAAUACCGGAGAAUGUUAUCACGGGAGACACACGGCGGGUGCUAACGUCCGUCGUGAAGAGGGAAACAACCCAGACCGCCAGCUAAGGUCCCAAAGUCAUGGUUAAGUGGGAAACGAUGUGGGAAGGCCCAGACAGCCAGGAUGUUGGCUUAGAAGCAGCCAUCAUUUAAAGAAAGCGUAAUAGCUCACUGGUCGAGUCGGCCUGCGCGGAAGAUGUAACG